AGUAAAGAAGAUCCUGGAGCUGACGUGGACAUGGACUUGACGGAGGCCCGUACCACACACCUGGCUAAUUCUGUCGAUCCUCUCCACCGCCUCUUUCCAACACCAGAGCCACAUCCACAGAGUGACAACCUAAGAGAAUGUGUGAUGAAAAACACAGGAACACAGGACGACUCUGGUCUGAGGACUUCAUUGAAGUCAUCUGUUAAGACCUCGCUGCAGAAGCAUCAGUUUGGUGAUGACCACCAAGAACAACCUGCACCAUCCUCCUCUCACUGUGGAGAAUCUUAUACAUUCUGUAUGGAAGGCGACAUUAGCAUGGACAUGACCG